CUAAGGUCUGGGAGAUAAUCUAAUCAAGACAAUGUGUAUUCCUUAUUUUACUGGUGUCUGUGUCCUUUUGUAUUUCCCUUUACUGCCCCUGUUGUCUCUGGGAUGCAGAUUAAGGGGGCGGUUUGUAUCCCAAUAUCUUCUUUUAUGUUAAUGUGUGUUUUGCUGGAUAUAUCCAGCCGUCUGUGUCUAAAAUAAAUCAGUUCUCCUCUUGUUGUACCUAAA